CCUACGGGAGGCUGCAGUGAGGAAUAUUGGUCAAUGGCCGGAAGGCUGAACCAGCCAAGCCGCGUGAAGGACGAAGGUGCCAAGCAUUGUAAACUUCUUUUAUAUGGGAAUAAAGUGAGGAACGUGUUCCUUUUUGUAUGUACCAUAUGAAUAAGCAUCGGCUAACUCCGUGCCAGCAGCCGCGGUAAUACGGAGGAUGCGAGCGUUAUCCGGAUUUAUUGGGUUUAAAGGGUGCGUAGGUGGUUAAUUAAGUCAGCGGUGAAAGUUUGUGGCUCAACCAUAAAAUUGCCGUUGAAACUGGUUGACUUGAGUAUAUUUGAGGUAGGCGGAAUGCGUGGUGUAGCGGUGAAAUGCAUAGAUAUCACGCAGAACUCCGAUUGCGAAGGCAGCUUACUAAACUAUAACUGACACUGAAGCACGAAAGCGUGGGGAUCAAACAGGAUUAGAUACCCUAGUAGUC
rnacentral:rRNA from 1 species